GGGGAUUUAGCUCAGCUGUAGAGCACUUGCCUAGCAAGCACAAGGCCCUGGGUUCGGUCCCCAGCUCCG
rfam:Rattus norvegicus chromosome 11, whole genome shotgun sequence.